CAGUCGCCGCGGGAAUACGUAGGUGGCAAGCGUUGUCCGGAAUUAUUGGGCGUAAAGCGCGCGCAGGUGGUUUAAUAAGUCUGAUGUGAAAGCCCACGGCUCAACCGUGGAGGGUCAUUGGAAACUGUUAAACUUGAGUGCAGGAGAGAAAAGUGGAAUUCCUAGUGUAGCGGUGAAAUGCGUAGAGAUUAGGAGGAACACCAGUGGCGAAGGCGACUCUCUGGUCUGUAACUGACGCUGAGGAGCGAAAGCGUGGGGAGCGAACAGGAUUAGAUACCCGCGUAGUCCCUGUCUCUUAUAA
rnacentral:rRNA from 1 species